rnacentral:rRNA from 1 species
AACGAACGCUGGCGGCAUGCCUAACACAUGCAAGUCGAACGAGACCUUCGGGUCUAGUGGCGCACGGGUGCGUAACGCGUGGGAAUCUGCCCUUAGGUUCGGAAUAACAGUUAGAAAUGACUGCUAAUACCGGAUAAUGACGUAAGUCCAAAGAUUUAUCGCCUAGGGAUGAGCCCGCGUAGGAUUAGCUAGUUGGUGGGGUAAAAGCCUACCAAGGCGACGAUCCUUAGCUGGUCUGAGAGGAUGAUCAGCCACACUGGGACUGAGACACGGCCCAGACUCCUACGGGAGGCAGCAGUGGGGAAUAUUGGACAAUGGGCGAAAGACCUGAUCCAGCAAUGCCGCGUGAGUGAUGAAGGCCUUAGGGUUGUAAAGCUCUUUUACCCGGGAUGAUAAUGACAGUACCGGGAGAAUAAGCUCCGGCU